CCUACGGGCGGCAGCAGUGGGGAAUAUUGGACAAUGGGCGAAAGCCUGAUCCAGCCAUGCCGCGUGUGUGAAGAAGGCCUUCGGGUUGUAAAGCACUUUCAGUGGGGAAGAAAGCCUUGGGGCUAAUACCCUCGAGGAAGGACAUCACCCACAGAAGAAGCACCGGCUAACUCCGUGCCAGCAGCCGCGGUAAUACGGAGGGGGCGAGCGUUAAUCGGAAUUACUGGGCGUAAAGCGCGCGUAGGCGGUCUGAUAAGCCGGUUGUGAAAGCCCCGGGCUCAACCUGGGAACGGCAUCCGGAACUGUCAGGCUAGAGUGCAGGAGAGGAAGGUAGAAUUCCCGGUGUAGCGGUGAAAUGCGUAGAGAUCGGGAGGAAUACCAGUGGCGAAGGCGGCCUUCUGGACUGACACUGACGCUGAGGUGCGAAAGCGUGGGUAGCAAACAGGAUUAGAUACCCUAGUAGUC
rnacentral:rRNA from 1 species